ensembl:lncRNA novel transcript, antisense to ITGA10
UGGGCAAAGAAGCCAAGCUGUAGAAGAAAAGAUAAGCGUCACUGCCAAAUGCCUAGACUGGGAACCUUGCCAGUAGCUCUCAGACUUAUCUGAGGCAGAAGACAAGGAGAGCAAGCAGGAGCAACCCUCCCAGGACACUGCCUAUGAGGAUCCACAGGGAGAUGAGGAUAGGCCGGGUCUGAACCACCUCCAAGAGGCUCUGCGUGGACAGAAGAGUAGUUUUCUACAUGCAUCCUAUAACCCAGCUAGCCUCACCCCACAUUAUAUCAAAGCCAGCCCCCAAAUAGAAUAAAUAACCUCCUGCUACUUAAAGGAAAGAAACUGAGGCAGGAAUGGCGGCAGUGGAACACUAGGAUCCUGCUGCCUGAUGGAGAUGCCUUCGUUCUGAAAAAGCCCACGGGUGGCCCU